rnacentral:rRNA from 1 species
GAUGAACGCUGGCGGCGUGCCUAAUACAUGCAAGUCGAGCGACCAGACGAGGAGCUUGCUCCUCUGACGUUAGCGGCGGACGGGUGAGUAACACGUGGAUAACCUACCUAUAAGACUGGGAUAACUUCGUGAAACCGGAGCUAAUACCGGAUAAUAUAUUGAACCGCAUGGUUCAAUAGUUAAAGACGGUUUUGCUGUCACUUAUAGAUGGUUCCGCGCCGCAUUAGCUAGUUGGUAAGGUAACGGCUUACCAAGGCAACGAUGCGUAGCCGACCUGAUAGGGUGAUCGGCCACACUGGAACUGAGACACGGUCCAGACUCCUACGGGAGGCAGCAGUAGGGAAUCUUCCGCAAUGGGCGAAAGCCUGACGGAGCAACGCCGCGUGAGUGAUGAAGGUCUUCGGAUCGUAAAACUCUGUUAUUAGGGAAGAACAAAUGUGUAAGUAACUAUGCACGUCUUGACGGUACCUAAUCAGAAAGCCACGGCUAACUACGUG